GACAGAGGAUGCAAGCGUUAUCCGGAAUGAUUGGGCGUAAAGCGUCUGUAGGUGGCUUUUUAAGUUCGCCGUCAAAUCCCAGGGCUCAACCCUGGACAGGCGGUGGAAACUACCAAGCUGGAGUACGGUAGGGGCAGAGGGAAUUUCCGGUGGAGCGGUGAAAUGCGUAGAUAUCGGGAGGAAUACCAGUGGCGAAAGGCGGCCUUCUGGACGGAUACUGACGCUGAGGCGCGAAAGCCAGGGGAGCAAACGGG
rnacentral:rRNA from 1 species